rnacentral:sRNA from 1 species
GUCACUGUAACCAACUGCGGCAGAGAUGU